rnacentral:rRNA from 1 species
UACGUAGGGGGGCAAGCGUUGUCCGGAAUUAUUGGGCGUAAAGAGCGCGUAGGCGGUCCGAUAAGUCGGCUGUGAAAGUCAGGGGCUCAACCCUUGAAAGCCGGCCGAUACUGUCGGACUAGAGUCCGGAAGAGGCAAGUGGAAUUCCCGGUGUAGCGGUGAAAUGCGCAGAUAUCGGGAAGAACACCCGUGGCGAAGGCGGUUCUCUGGGACGGUACUGACGCUGAGACGCGAAAGCGUGGGGAGGCGAACAGGAUUGAGAUAC